rnacentral:rRNA from 1 species
UACGUAGGUGGCAAGCGUUGUUCGGAAUUAUUGGGCGUAAAGGGUGCGUAGGCGGCGCGGUAAGUCGGGUGUGAAAUCUUGGAGCUUAACUCCGAAACUGCAUUCGAUACUGCCGUGCUUGAGGACUGGAGAGGAGACUGGAAUUUACGGUGUAGCGGUGAAAUGCGUAGAUAUCGUAAGGAAGACCAGUGGCGAAGGCGGGUCUCUGGACAGUUCCUGACGCUGAGGCACGAAGGCCAGGGGAGCAAACGGG